UACGAAGGGGGCUAGCGUUGUUCGGAAUCACUGGGCGUAAAGGGUGCGUAGGCGGAUCAAUCAGUCAGGGGUGAAAGCCCGAGGCUCAACCUCGGAACUGCCUUUGAUACUGUUGAUCUUGAGUCCGGAAGAGGUGAGUGGAACUGCGAGUGUAGAGGUGAAAUUCGUAGAUAUUCGCAAGAACACCGGUGGCGAAGGCGGCUCACUGGUCCGGAACUGACGCUGAGGCACGACAGCGUGGGGAGCAAACAGG
rnacentral:rRNA from 1 species